GUUUGCCUCACAGCACGUCUUCCCCGUAUACUGAAACAGAAGUUAAUGCUUGUACUCCACUUUGUAUGGCUUACAAGUUUGGCUCUUCUGUGACAUAU